UAGAUAUUAAUCCAUUAUCAGAUAUGUGAUUUGCAACUAUUUUCUCCCAUUCUUUAGGCUGCUUUUUAAUUUUGUUGACUGUGUCUUUUGCUGUGUGGAUGCUUAUUAGUUUGAUGUAGUCCAACUUUAUUUUUGUUUUUAUUGCUUAUGCUUUUGGUGUCAUAUCAAAAAAUCCUUGCCAUGACUAAUGUCAAUCAAUGUUUCUAUAUUUUCUUCUAUUAAUUUUAUGAUUUCAAGUCUUACAUGGAAGUCCUUGAUACAUUUAGGGUUAAUUUCUGAGCAAUGUAAAGUACGGGUCCAAUUGCAUUUUUUUGCAUAUGAAUAUUCAGUUUAACCAAAACCAUUUAUUGAGGAGAUUAUCCCAUGUAUUCUCAGCUCCAUUGUCAAAAAUUAGUUGACCUAUAAUAGGAGUUAUUUCUAGGUUCUUGAUCCUUUUCCACUGAUGUAUUUUUUUUUUAAUGCCAGCACCAUGCUGUUUUAUUUACUGUAGCUUGGUAAUAAAGUUUGAAAGCAGGAAAUAUGAUUUAGCAAGAUUUGUUCUUUCUCAGAAUUGCUUUGGCUAUUUCAGUUCUUUGGGAGUUCCAUGUGAAUUUUAGGAAUGUUUUUCUAUUUCUGUGAAAAAUGACAUUGAAAUUUUGAAAAAAUUGCAUUGAAUCUGUAGCAUAUUGGCACCGUGACUACAGGGGCUGGCCACUGGCAUUUUAUCAAUGGUAGAAGCCACUGAUGGUAUUUGGAGCUAGCAGUGAGCAAGUAUGAUAUUAUAGAAGCAGUGAGCAAGUAUGAUGUUGCCAGCACAUGCAGGAGUGCAGGUCAUUGACAGGAGACAGGGAAUCUCUAGGCACUUGGGCAGCUAUGUAUGCCAGGGUUUCAUCUUGUACUCAUGUGGCAUCUAUGGCUAGCCAUGGACCCAUAUGUGGCAGUAGAGGCUAGUGAUGGGCACUGGGCCUGGUGGUGUACAGGUGCACAGCUACAGGGGCUAGAUAUAGUCACAAGCACAGUAAUGGAGGAGAGUGACAGGUGUUGGAACUGGGACCAUAUGGAUGUAUAACUGCAGGAGCUAGCUGUGAGCAUAGGCAGCAAUGAAGACCUGUGACACAAAUUCGGCCACGUCCUUGGCCUAAGAGCAGCCAUGGAGGCUUUGGUUGUCAGUGUGCACUCCUGUGGCUACAGGGCCUGCAAUGGGCACAGGCACUGCAGUGGAGGUGGGUGACAGAAAUCAGAGCUGAUGGCAUGCAAGUACAUAGCUGCAGGAGUGAUCUGUACAUGCACGGAGAUGUUUGGGACAGUGACAGGAGCCAGAACCAGAUAAGGCUGAUAAGCAUGUAGCUGCUUCUUAAAUGUGAAUGUACCUCUUUUAUGUAAAGCCAAAUUAGCUUGGAGAGUUGCCAAAAUAAUAUUUUACAAAAAUUUAAUGAGGAAUAAAAAUACAAUAUUCAUAGCAGUCAGUACUAACUGGAGAAUGACACCACAAAGCAGUGAUGCAGUUACAUAGAAGUGAGAAAAAAAUGCAUAACUAGAAGAAAUAGAAUUUUAAACCAUAAGUAGACCACAUUUUCUUUGGCUUUCCUUUUAGGACAUAAAGUACUAUGCUGAAAUAGGCUGGAUACCCAGAAAAGUUUUAACAGGUAAAGCCAUCUGGUCAUUAAUCUGCCUUGAAAUUUCUGAAAGGUGCUGAGGGCAAAGCAGCAGAUGUCAUUAGUGAACUGUGUAGUGAUAAUAAUCAAAAAAUUUCCUUCUGCCUUAGCAUGUGAAACAAAGAAAGAAAAGGGAAUUAACACAGGAAGAGGAAUUUAGAUGUCCUCAUAAUUUUAAUCUAAAAGAAAAAAAAAGAUUAUUUGGUUGAGCUUCAUAUUUGCAUUUAUUUCUACAAGAUUUAUAAAAGUUGGGAAAUGUCUACUGAAUGGGAACAAAUAUAUUAUGUUUUCUAGUAGGAUAUAGUCUAUAGUAUAUAUGUGUGUGUAUAUAUACACACAUACUCACAGUUAUCUACUAAAUGUGGACAUUAUUGUUACCAAUGUCAUAUAUUAAUAAUGACAAAUAAUAGAAUAUUUUCUUUUAAGACUGAGAAAUUUUGUUUUAACAAAAAUAUUCUAUUUUAAUUAUUUUCAAAUCUAAUGUGGCUAUAACACAACCCAGAAUUUUUAAGUUACAAAAAUCAGUAGGAUUGAGCUCGUUAUUAAAAAUAAAAUAAAAUCUUUUUGCAGAAUUCCUUCCAUACAAAUCGAUGAGUUGCAAAAAUGAGGAUAGAUUCUGUAUUACACAGUGAUACUUUAGAUAUUUAUAAAUCAGUUUAUAUAUUAGUGCUUUCAAUGCCCUUUAAAUGCAAGAAAUGCAUGUAUAAGCAUAUAUAUACACACAUGUAUGUAUAUAUGCAUAUAUAGAUGAUCUAGCAGUGAAGACAAAUCUUUCCUCUUGAGAGAAUUUGGAACCUCAGAGAACUUAAAAGAGGUGAAUAUUUUUUUAGGUCUUAUAAAAUCUACAGCUACAGAGACAUAAUGUCCAAGAAGUUAGGUUAAGGCAUCUGUUCUCCUUAGGGAGAGUUAGAGGAAGGGAGAGUUAAAGAGUUAGGCUUCAAAAGUUAAUAACAUAGAGAAUUCUGGGAAUGGAAUUAUGCUUUGGGUUAAUAGAGUUCAAUUUAUCAAUAACCUAUUAUAUUAAAUCAUAACUAUUCAGUGAAAGCUUUAAAACAACUGCAAAAAUAUUGUUGUUUUUGUCUUCUACAUGAUUACAAAUUUCUGAGACUAUCUGGAAAUCAUAAGUGUUAAAGGAUUGAUGUUAGAGUGGUCUAGUUCCAUGCUUCUACUAUUCUUACUUCAUUGACUUAUGCUACACUUGUCUGAUUGCUCUGUCCUCUUAAUUAUUUUCUAAGAAUCAAAGAAUAGAAGAAUUACUUAUUUUGUCCUUACAAAGAUGACUUCCUUAUGACAGAGAAACUGUUUAGAAGUGCCUGGAGUUCCUGCUUUGACACAAUGGGGUAAGAAUCCAACUGCCCAUGGCUCAGUCACUGUGGAGGUAUGGGUGCACUCCAUAGCCCAGCACAGUGGGUUGAAGGAUCCAGCCACCCAGGUGUGGCUCAGAUGGAUUCAGUCCCUAGCCCAGGAACUUCCAUGUAAAAAAAAAAUUGCUGUAAGUAUAUCAGCAGGGGGAAUGUAUUGAUUGCAGUGUAUCAGUCAUCUGAAAUACUGCUAUGAAAUAUUUUGGCAAUCUAUAAUUUUUCAGGCUUUCAAAAAGGAAACAACAUCUUCCUAUAAACCUGAUUGAAUUAAUUAUACAGAUGCCAAUAAAACACCAUAUGAGCCAUUUGUCUUUUAUUAUGCAUAAUGCUAAGAUAGAAAUAUUCUGUGUUCACACGUGAUUGAUUAAAAUAUCUUUUCAAUUAAAAAAUGUUUUGAAACAAAAAGAAGCUUUUGUGGUAUCAAUUUUUAAAAAUGUGGUUAAGAGCAUUUAUCACAGAAGAGCAGUUUCUGAACACAGUCUGGAUAAAACAGACCAAAUACAAGAGUUUGCUUUUGGUUAUUGGGGAAUAAAAAGCAGCAGAGUCUCCAUAUAGUCUUUUAUAUAUCCCUUUUAUUACUUUGCUCUUCUCUGUGUUUUUGUGUGUUUUUGUUAUCAGAUGACCUAGAUAAUUUCAAGAACAAUUUAUAUUUUCAAGGAGGUUGGUUGGAAUCUGAAAACUUCAUCAAGUUGUCAUAUUGGAAAAGAACGUGGACUUUUCAUUUAAAUGUAGAAUAUUAUGGUGGGGAUGUUUUCAAUUUAAAUGUAUGUACAUCUUUGCUUGGUAUUUAAUAAACCACUUAAAAGUACUAAGGCUUUGUGUUCCCAUAGCUGUCGAAUAGGCUGUGGUAUUUCUUAAGCACUAGAAAAUAGUGGUAUGGCGAAAGGGAGAGCAUGUUUAAACCUGCAAAUUCAGACACUUCUGGGGGGUGAAAGGAAGUUUCUCUAUGCUCAAGUCUUCCCUAAAAUAAACAGACUUCCUUUUCCAACUGUUGGGCCUGAGAGUCAUUCAUCCUACCCAUUCAGUCCCUCUGUAUCCAGAGUACACUGAUAACAGAGGGAUCCCAGCUCCUCUCCAGUGCUCACAUGUUAUCAUAUAUAUCAAAGAAAUCACUGUGUAUAACAGGAAUGUGGAUAACAGAUACCUGAGAAAGAGUGUGGAUCAGGAAACAUAUGGGGAAAAACACAGGAGAUAAGGAAGGUGAGUGUUUCGGUGAGGAAAUCAGAGUUAAAGUUACUGAGUGAGAUGAUUUGAAAGAGCUUAAGGCAGCAGGACUCUUGGAGAGGGAAGGCAAAAGGACUUAGGGCUCUUGCUAUGAGCUAUAAAUUAGCCUUAAGUGGAUGUGAGAAGAUGAAAGUACAUAUUCUACUUUUACAUUGUUUAUAGCACUUCUCUGAAUUCAAUACUGCAGUAAGAUUAAAACAUAAGGAAUUCCAGAAUUAGUUCAAAUACAUUUACAUCUGCUUAAUUAUUUAAAUUCUAAAAAGCCGAUAGUCAGGUCCUUGCAUUCAAAUUGCCAUUUUAGCCAGAAGUCUAUUCUGUAUUUCUAAAGUAACACAGAAAGGCUGUAUUUUCAAAAUUUAUUAGAAAAAAAUAUUUAGGGCUCUAAAUCAUCUAAAUAGAUGCUUGAAUAUCUCAUAUUAUCGCAUGCGUAGGAAUACCCUAUUUUGUGCUAAUAAAUAAAGCACAUGGUUCUUAUUUACUGUUAAAAUCCUAGUAAAUGUAAUGUCAUUAUAUUAAAUUCCCAGGAAAGAUGGAUGGCUAUAGGAAAAAUAUGGCUUAUGGACUUCAUUUUUUUUCUUUCCGAAUUUAGAGUGUAUUUUUUUCUUUGUUUCUUCUGUAGGCUUCUCUAUCAAUCAGGAGGUUCCUAUAAUCUAGACUUGAGUUUCAUGAAGAAAAGUUAUUCCUAAGAAUCUGAAACAUGAUGUACAAAAAAUAUGGUUUACAACAAAUAUGUUCCCAAAGACUCACACUUCUGUGCUACAUCAGAAUGCUAAUGUCCUUUGAGCAACAGCCAGAAUUUCUAAGUGUGUGGUUUGUGCGCUCUUUUUUUACAAACCAAGAACUGCUAGUUACAAAAUGCAAAUAAGUUUUAUUAACAAAGAUCAACUGGAAAUUGCUAUGGACUGAAUUGUGUUGCCCUGAAAUUCAUAUGUUGAAGUCCAGUGUGACUGUAUUUGGAGGUAGGCUUUUUGGUGGUAAUUAAGGUUAAAUGAGGUUGUAAGAGCUGUGCCCUAAUUCACUAGGAUGAAUGCCUUUAUAAAAAGACAGAUCUCACUUUCACCAUAUGUACACUCUGAGAAAAAAGCAUGUGAGAACACAGAAGGCAGACAACUGCAAGGAAGGAAGAGGGCUAUGACCUUGAUCUUAGACAUCCAAGCCUUCAGAAAUGUAAGAAAAUAAAUAUCUGUUGUUUAAGCUACCAGUCUAUAGUAUUUUGUUAAAGCAGCCUGAGAAAACAAAUAGAAAUUUUAGUAUAACGAGAUACACGGGAUUAAGAUGGCAGAAUAGAAGGACUGGAGCUCACCUUCUAUCAUAAAAACAGCAAAUUACAACCAAAUGCUGAACAACCUUCAACUAAGUGGACUGGAAACUUUCACAAAGAUAUACUGCUCCAGAGACAAAGAGGAGGCUACAUCAAGACAGUAGAAGGGGCAAUUAUGUGAUAUAAACAACUCUGCCAGGUGGCCAGCCAAUAGACUGGAAAGUAGCUGUAUCACAGAGACUCACCUACAGGAGUGAGAGUUUAGAAGUCCCCACUUCAGGUCCCCACUCCCUGACAUUGGGAGAAAGAGCCCCCAGAGCAUCUGGCAUCAAAAUUAAUACACAGAUAUCAAUUGCAUUUCUAUACACUAACAAUGAAAAAUCAGAAAGAGAAAUUAGGGA
rnacentral:lncRNA from 1 species